AGGGGCUUGCAUGAGCUUUAUUUUAAGAUAAUCUUCUGGAAAUUGGUGCGUUUUAUGGUGUAUUUUAUGCUUUGCAGGAGAUUUAGGCUUUCGAGAUGAAGAGUGCAAAUUUUGGAGAGUUUGGGCUAAGAAUUGUGUUUAUGUGCAUACUCUGGCACGUCAGAGAAGCGAAACCCCGCGCGGAAGCCAGAGCAGCGGAACCAAGCUCUCCAGAGCAGAGAAGCGCUCCAGAUCCAGAGAAGUCAUUCGCCAGAGCAGCGAAGUCAGAGCAGAGGAAUCAAUCGCCAGAGGAAUCAAUCGCCAGAGGAAUCAAUAGUCAGAGAAAUGAAUAGCCAGAGAAAUGAAAAGCCAGAGCAGCGGAAUCACCAGUCAGAGGAACCGAAUGCCAGAGCAGAGAAAUCAAGAAGCCAGAGGAACCGAGAGUCAGAGCAGACAAGUGCGCCAGAGCGGAAGCCGUUUCUCUGGCGAGAGCCGCGAAUUCGGCCAGAAUGGAGAUGACUUGCAGCGCGCGUCACAGCUGGACUUACCUUCCUUUGCACGAUUCUAUUCCUUUUAGAGUCCGGCUUUGCAUGGCAACUUCCUUGGUGAUCUAGGGAAAUUUGAGGUCUAUAAAUAGGGCUUAGUUUUCAUUGUAAAAUCAAUCCUCUUGCCUCCGGCACUUAGUUAGAAAGAAUCCUUCUGCCUCCAGGCGUGUAGUUAGAUAAAACCCUUUGCCCUAAUCUUUAGUUCCGCCAAGUUAGCUAAAGCUUAGGUUUAUUGUUUUCUAGUGCUAGUUUCGAUUUCUGUUCUAGUUAGUUUAAUAUAGUUCUUUUAAUUCAUGUUUUAGAAUAGUUCCCGUUUAGAGUUGUAAUUACGUGACAGAUUACUUCUCGAGACGAUUUACGGUAUUUCUUUAAUCAAGUCUAUUUAUUUGCUUUUACAUGCGUUCCUUUAAAUUCUGCUAUUUCAAUUCUGCGAUUUAAAUUAUGCUUUAGUUUCUACCCAAUUACAUUAGAUUAGAAGUCUUUAAAUUUACAAGUAUUUAAGUUCAUUAAGUAGGUUUAAUUAAAGUUAUUUAAUUCUUACCUAGGGUUUAAUACUUAAAUUCGCCUAAUAAUUUUAAGAUUAAGUAGUUAGUUAAGCUUAAGUUCAGGCAUUAAUUAUAUUCCGCCUAGUUAAGUCAAGUUUAAUUCACGUUAAUUUACUUUACAAGUUUCAGUUUAAUAAUCCAAGUUUACGGCUUUCUCGUGACAUAAUUAAAAGCCCUUAAAGAUCUUCCUUGAGAGACGACAUUGGGUUAGCUUAUCACUGCUAGGAUGUCCUUGUUCUAUUGCAAGUCAAUCUAGAGGUGUUUCUAGUUGAGUCAAAUUUUGGCGCCGUUGCCGAGGAUCGAACCUGGGUCACCCGCGUGACAGGCGGGAAUACUUACCACUAUACUACAAUUUUAUGGAGGUUAGCAAGCAGAGCAUGGAGUCUCAGGCUGCCACUAUUAAACGCCUUGAGACCACCGUAGGGCAACUGUCGGGCGCGCUGGACCAGCUACAGCAGCAGCAGAGCCAAACUCAUCAAGCGCUAGCUCUGGCGAGGAUGCCAGAGCAGAUUAGGCUGCCAGCUCUGGCUCGACAGCCAGAGCAGAGGAGAGAGCCAGCUCUGGCUUGGCAGCCAAAGCAGAGGAGAGAGCCAGCUCUAGCUUGGCAGCCAGAGCAGAGGAGAGAGCCAGCUCUGGCUUGGCAGCCAGAGCAGAGGAGAGUGACAGAGUGGAUAAGGCCAGAGCAGAAACUUCACAAAUCAAGUACGCCAUAUCAACCACCGAAGCCCACCCUGCCUCUGCCACCAUCAAUUGUUGAUCCCACCCAACCAUUGCCAAAGAAAGAAGAUCCAGGGAGUUUCAUUAUUGGUAUUGGUUUGGGUCGAGCUGGAGAAUUCACGGGCAUGUUAGACUUGGGUGCGGCAGUCAAUUUGAUGCCGUAUGCUAUUUUUCAGAAAUUGGGCAGGAAGGAAGAGGAGCUUAAAAUCACGAAAACAAGACUUCAAUUAGCUGAUGGGGCAAAUUGUAGCACUCGUGGUAUUUUAAAAGAUGUUGAAGUCAUGGUGAGAGGAAUCACGGUGCUAGCCGAUUUUGUUGUGCUCGAGGCAGGGCAAGGCAUUAUAGGAAAGAAUGGGCAACUUGUUCUACUUGGUCGGCCUUUUAUGGCUACUACCCAGACGCGCAUUGAUGUGGGUUCUGGAACUUUGAGCAUGGCCGGGUCUGGUAGAUCGGUAACAUUCUCCGUUUUUAAUAAAAAGCCUAUUAUUUCUAACUUCUCAAUGCAUAUCUGUUCUCUUGUUGAGAUUGCUGACCAUGAGGAAGAAGUAGAAAUUUUCAGAGCUAACUGUCUUUCGCCAGCUCUGCCAAGCGCUCCAGCCCUGACUCUUCCGCCAGCUAUGCCCAUUCCGCCAGCGCUGACUACUCCAGCCAUGCCUAUUCCGCCAGCGCUGACUACUCCAGCUAUGCCCGUUCUGCCAGCACUGACUACUCCAGCUCUGCCGCUGGAAGACAGAGCAAAAAUUUUACCGCCAACGCUGACGAGCUCAGCUCUGAGCAGUACGCCAACUAUGAACAGCACGCGCCAGAAUGUUGCUAAGGAGAAACUGGAAUUUGUGGAAGAGAAUAAGGUUUUCAAUGAGAAUUUCGGGUUUGUGUUUGUUUGGUGGUUAUUCUUGUUUUACCUUUAAUAUGUGUUUCUUGAUUGUGCAAAGAAUUAAGAGUUUUGUUGCAACAUUUUUGUAAGUAAGUAAAACGUGAUUUGUCCGAUAGAUGCUAGAAGGAGUGUUGUCAUUGUGAUUGUCUACGAUCGUAUCUUAUCUGUGAAAAUGUUGGACGAAUUGCCAACUUCAAAAUUGCCAGCUCUGAAACAUCUGGCCUGUUCUGAAAACGUGACAGCUCUGAGUCUCUGCUCCUCUAGUCUAACUAUGAGCAUGGGAAACCACGUGAAAAGACUUUGGAUUACAUCCAAAUGUUUUUAUUUCAUGAAUUAUGGCUCAACUGUCGAAAAUUUAAGCACACAAAGUGUGAAAAAUGGUGAUAUUGACUAUAAAGGCGAUCACAUUAGGGAAUUCACUUCUAGCGGAGAAUUGGGUCUGAUCGAAUUGCUUACAUUACUAUUUUGUUGCUUCUUAAACUUUGAGUUACUUGCAUGAUCGAGAGAUGUGUGUUGAUUGUAAAAUUUUGAAUUGACUUUGUGAAUGUUUGGAUGGAAAUUAGUAUAGUUGAAAUCAAUCUCUUCCCAGGAUUCAUACGGAUUUUGCUUGAGGACAAGCAAAAGGCUAAGUGUGGGGGGGUUGAUUUAUGCUUAAUUGUUCUAAUUUUAGGGGCUUGCAUGAGCUUUAUUUUAAGAUAAUCUUCUGGAAAUUGGUGCGUUUUAUGGUGUAUUUUAUGCUUUGCAGGAGAUUUAGGUUUUCGAGAUGAAGAGUGCAAAUUUUGGAGAGUUUGGGCUAAGAAUUGUGUUUUUGUGCAUACUCUGGCACGUCAGAGAAGCGAAACCCCGCGCGGAAGCCAGAGCAGCGGAACCAAGCUCUCCAGAGCAGAGAAGCGCUCCAGAUCCAGAGAAGUCAUUCGCCAGAGCAGCGAAAUCACAAGUCAGAGCAGAGGAAUCAAUCGCCAGAGGAAUCAAUAGUCAGAGAAAUGAAUAGCCAGAGAAAUGAAAAGCCAGAGCAGCGGAAUCACCAGUCAGAGGAACCGAAUGCCAGAGCAGAGAAAUCAAGAAGCCAGAGGAACCGAGAGUCAGAGCAGACAAGUGCGCCAGAGCGGAAGCCGUUUCUCUGGCGAGAGCCGCGAAUUCGGCCAGAAUGGAGAUGACUUGCAGCGCGCGUCACAGCUGGACUUACCUUCCUUUGCACGAUUCUAUUUCUUUUAGAGCCCGGCUUUGCAUGGCAACUUCCUUGGUGAUCUAGGGAAAUUUGAGGUCUAUAAAUAGGGCUUAGUUUUCAUUGUAAAAUCAAUCCUCUUGCCUCCGGCACUUAGUUAGAAAGAAUCCUUCUGCCUCCAGGCGUGUAGUUAGAUAAAACCCUUUGCCCUAAUCUUUAGUUCC
rnacentral:lncRNA from 1 species